AUUGAACGCUGGCGGCAGGCUUAACACAUGCAAGUCGAGCGGGGUGAUGGUGCUUGCACUAUCACUUAGCGGCGGACGGGCGAGUAAUGCUUAGGAAUCUGCCUAUUAGUGGGGGACAACAUUUCGAAAGGAAUGCUAAUACCGCAUACGUCCUACGGGAGAAAGCAGGGGAUCUUCGGACCUUGCGCUAAUAGAUGAGCCUAAGUCGGAUUAGCUAGUUGGUGGGGUAAAGGCCUACCAAGGCGAGGAUCUGUAGCGGGUCGGGGAGGAUGUGCCGCCACACUGGGACUGAGACACGGCCCAGAAUCCUACGGGAGGCAGCAGUGGGGAAUAUUGGACAAUGGGCGGAAGCCUGAUCCAGCCAUGCCGCGUGUGUGAAGAAGGCCUUAUGGUUGUAAAGCACUUUAAGCGAGGAGGAGGCUACUUUAGUUAAUACCUAGAGAUAGUGGACGUUACUCGCAGAAUAAGCACCGGCUAACUCUGUGCCAGCCGCCGCCGUAAAAC
rnacentral:rRNA from 1 species